rnacentral:rRNA from 1 species
ACUGCUCAGUAACACGUGGACAACCUGCCCUUAGGACGGGUAUAAACCCGGGAAACUGGGUAUAAUCCCCGAUAGGUCUCGACUGCUGGAAUGCAUCGAGAUCUAAAGCUCCGGCGCCUAAGGAUGGGUCUGCGGCCUAUCAGGUAGUAGUGGGUGUAGCGUACCUACUAGCCUACGACGGGUACGGGUUGUGAGAGCAAGAGCCCGGAGAUGGAUUCUGAGACACGAAUCCAGGCCCUACGGGGUGCAGCAGGCGCGAAAACUUUACAAUGCUGGCAACAGCGAUAAGGGAACCUCGAGUGCCAGGUUACAAAUCUGGCUGUCGAGAUGCCUAAAAAGCAUUUCAUAGCAAGGGCCGGGCAAGACCGGUGCCAGCCGCCGCGGUAACACCGGCGGCUCGAGUGGUAACCGUUAUUAUUGGGUCUAAAGGGUCUGUAGCCGGCCGGAUAAGUCUCUUGAGAAAUCUGUCAGCUUAACUGUCAGGCUUUCAGGAGAUACUGUCUGGCUCGAGGCCGGGAGAGGUGAGAGGUACUUCAGGGGUAGGGGUGAAAUCUUGUAAUCCUUGAAGGACCACCAGUGGCGAAGGCGUCUCACCAGAACGGACCUGACGGCAAGGGACGAAAGCUAGGGGCACGAACCGGAUUAGAUACCCGGGUAGUCCUAGCCGUAAACGAUACUCGCUAGGUGUCGGCCACGGUGCGACCGUUGUCGGUGCCGUAGGGAAGCCGUGAAGCGAGCCACCUGGGAAGUACGGCCGCAAGGCUGAAACUUAAAGGAAUUGGCGGGGGAGCAC